UACGUAGGGUGCGAGCGUUGUCCGGAAUUAUUGGGCGUAAAGAGCUCGUAGGCGGUUUGUCACGUCUGCUGUGAAAUCCCGAGGCUCAACCUCGGGCCUGCAGUGGGUACGGGCAGACUGGAGUGCGGUAGGGGAGAAUGGAAUUCCUGGUGUAGCGGUGGAAUGCGCAGAUAUCAGGAGGAACACCGGUGGCGAAGGCGGUUCUCUGGGAAUAUCCUGACGCUGAGGAGCGAAAGUGUGGGGAGCGAACAGG
rnacentral:rRNA from 1 species